GAUGAAGAACGUAGCGAAAUGCGAUACGUAAUGUGAAUUGCAGAAUUCAGUGAAUCAUCGAAUCUUUGAACGCAUAUUGCGCUCUCUGGUAUUCCGGAGAGCAUGCUUGUUUGAGUAUCAGUAAACACCUCAACUCCCUUUUCUUUUUUGAAAUGGGAGCUGGACUUGAGUGAUCCCAACACUUUUCUCACUGGAAAGUGGCGGGUCACUUGAAAUGCAGGUGCAGCUGGACUUUUCUCUGAGCUAUAAGCAUAUCUAUUUAGUCUGCCUAAAAAACAGAUUAUUACCUUUGCUACAGCUAACAUAAAGGAGAUGAGUUCUUGUGCUGACUGAUGCAGGAUUCACAGAGACAGCUUUGCGGCUGACUUUGUAAACUCGAUCUCAAAUCAAGUAAGACUACCCGCUGAACUUAAGCAUAUCAAUAAGCGGAGGA
rnacentral:misc_RNA from 1 species